AAUAAAACCAGUCUUAUGGGUAAUCAACAUGCAGAAAAAUGUCUCUGCUAUACACUUUCAUUUAUUCAUUCAGUCAGUCAUCUGCUCACUUGUUUACACACUGACUCCAGCAAAAGUCACAAACACAGCUGAAAGUCAACACAUAUUCCACAAUCCAUAUGGAACAUACUUCCUUCACACCGUCUGGAAUAAAUUGUAAGGCUGUGAAUCAAGAUAUCUGGAAUCCAGCCUGUGUUGUCUCGAUCCCAUUCUAUUUCCCUGUAUCUCCAAUCUGUCCUAUAAAAUUAAAUGCACAAAGACUAUAACCAUAAAUUUGAAGAAUGUCUACAAUCUAUUCCCAUUUCUUUGAACUGUUAUGUGUAUAAUUUUUCUGCUUCUCAGUCUGUGUGUGUGUGUUAUAUACGAGAAAAAUCGUAUCUGGCUUCAUCCUCAGGCCCCCUGGCCACCUGGCACAGAUAGUGACCCUUCCAUCUGCCCCCUGCUGUCUUCCUGUUUGUGUGUGUUUUGUGGAUCCAGAGAGAUGGGAAUAAAAUGGCCCACAUGAGCCCAGAGUGCAGCUCUGCAUGUGCCAGGUGACUCCCUAGGCCUUCCCGAAGACCUCACUCCCCUCAGCCUUGGCAGCCAGGCUCAGGUGCGGUUCAUAAAGACCGGGCUACAACGCCAACAGGUGGCGCUGUUUUCUUCACCAAUUACGCCUUUGUUUGCUCUUUGGCAUCCAGUUUGUUUUGGACGAGUCCCCUCGCCCGCUGGACAAGAGCCAGGAGGAGUUUGUAUGUGUGUGGGCUGGUCUUUCCACCGACAUCGCUUCUCAAAGCCUCCUCGGACAGAGCCAGAAACGAUAAGCUCGCGAUGACGACAGAGAAGCCGCACUCACUUUUGUCCUUACCGAGGGUGCAUGUUCUCUGACCUAGCUUUUCAAGAUCUGCUCUGCAAGGACGUCUUCAACCCCCAUCAUCUUGGUGGAUUAGAGCAGGUCAUCCCAGUGACAGUGAUAAUGACUCCAGAUGAUUUCAGUCCAAAACUUCAGCUACUCGCUUGACGUCUGUCAAAGGAAGAAGUCUAUGAAGUCUACAACUUGAUUAACCUCAGUGCUGGAACUUUUACCCUUUUUCACUGAUGCACCUGGGGCAGCUGUGGAAAGAGACAGGCCACCACACAUGACAGGAGAGAGAGACAGAGAAGGAACGAACGGAGGAGAGCACACCGAGGAGGAGAGAGGUGCCCGUGGUGUUGGAGGAGCUCAUCAGACAGAGCCCUUCUCCAUCUGUCACAAAUCAUUUCUGCUCUGGAAGUAAGGAAAGGCAAAAUGUCAAAAUAUUUGAAUACAUUCCAUGGGAGUGUGUCACACUCGCAGAGGGAGAUGCUUGGCAGCAGUGGGGUGGAAAGGGAAAGGGUCGUCUACUGGAUGAAUUGGGAUUUUAUAGUGUUGUAAGAACAGUCAAUUAAAAAGAUGUGAUUAUAUAUGUGUAUAUGUACUAAAUAAAUCUAAAUUUCAUGAAUAGAUAACAACAAUAAUGACUAAAAUUACUUUUAAAAUACCUUGAGUGUUUGGUAUGCAACACUGCAUGAGGCCGAUAGUAAUUAUUUUUUGAACUCCUGUGUUCAUUUUAAUACCGUUUUCAUAGAAGUAACAAUUUGGUCAGUGUUAAUUGAUUGAAAUAUAUCGACUUGUAUAUUCACCCAGAAUGUGAUGAUUUUUACACUCAGAAUAACAUUUAAUUGAUCAAAAAAAAUUGUAUUUCAAAUAAAUGCUGUUUUUUUUUAACUUUAUUUAUCAAAUGAUCCUGAAAAAAAAUGCAUCACGGUUUCCGCAAAAAUAUUAAGAAGCAACUGUUUCAACAUUGAUAAUAAUAAGAAAUGUCAUAUUAGAAUGAUUUCUGAAGGAUCAUGGGACACUGGAGACUGGAGUAAUGACAUUUUAAAAUAGAGAAUAGAAAAAAGUAAUUUUGAAUUGUAAAAAUAUAUAUUUACUGUUUUUACUGUAUUUUUGAUGAGCAGAAAAGACUUGAGCAAAAAAUGUAAAAACCUUACAGAUCCCAAAAUUUGGAACGGUAUUGUAUUCAUGUCAGUGAUUUUGACAAUAAUUUUACAGCAGUGUCAUGAAAUAAAAGCAUUUAUUACUGUAGAUUUGAAGGACUGGUGCUUUUGAUACAGCAUUAAAAUUGAUUUCUUCUAAAUCAUUAUUAUAUAUAACAACAAAACCCUUUAGAUUUCAUUAGCAUUUCAUUAAUUUUUAUGCUUCACAGGAAUUACAAAAAUGCAAUUUAUUGGCUUUUUUUUUUUUAUUUCCAUUGUCUUUUAUUGAUUUUUCUUUUUGGGUUAAAGUUUUUUUUUUUCCUUUCCUCAGAGAAAGUGGAAAAAGAGUUUGUGUUUCACAAGUGUCCAUUAUUUCUACCACUUUUAUAUUGGUCUUUCUCCUGGAUUGCUCUUUUUGAAAAUUGUAACUUUUAAAGCUUUUCUCAAGAGCGAGUUCUAGUUCGUAUUGACUAGAAAAGAAAAGAGAGGCAGGUGUGAAGGACGCAGGGAUUUGAUCUCUGUACCUUUGAGGAAUAGUGAGAUAAGUGCUCUCAGAAAAGGUUUUGCGUGCCAAGACUGCAGAAUGAAAUAGCUAUUCAGUGUCUAGGUAACCUGCCCACUGUUUAUUCACUUAUUUAUUGCCUUAUAGAAA